AAAUAUUUUUGUGGGCAGUUUCUCUACAAUAACUGUUCCAUUAUCUUCAUAAUGGGAACUCCUAGCUCCAGUAGUAUCUAUGUAAAUCAAAAACUUAACAAAGCCCUCUUCUUUCAUAAUCAGAUCAUUAACCCCUUUCAAUUUCUUUCUAAAUCAGUGGAAAUAGAAAUUAUUUUGUUCUUCGACAGUUAUGGCACCCUCAAAUCAUGAUCCAGAUUAUCAGCUUCCAAAUUCUUCAAAUGCUAUUAUAAGUCAACAAGAUUGUACAAAUACAAGAAAAAAUGGAAGAGGAAGAACCAUUGGCUUAGGUGUCUCAAAAAGGAAAAAGAAGAGUGCUACUGGAAAAUUGCAUGUUGAUAUUCCAGCAGAUAAAAUGGUAG